rnacentral:rRNA from 1 species
CAGCCGCCGCGGUAAUACGUAGGGUGCUAGCGUUGUUCGGAAUCAUUGGGCGUAAAGCGCGUGUAGGUGGUUUGGUAAGACAGGCGUGAAAUCCCCGGGCUCAACCUGGGAAUGGCGCUUGUGACUGCAAAGCUAGAGUGCGGCAGAGGGGGAUGGAAUUCCGCGUGUAGCAGUGAAAUGCGUAGAUAUGCGGAGGAACACCGAUGGCGAAGGCAAUCCCCUGGGCCUGCACUGACGCUCAGCACGAAAGCGUGGGGAGCAAACAGGAUUAGAUACCCCGGUAGUCCCUGUCUCUUAUACA